GACGAACGCUGGCGGCGUGCUUAACACAUGCAAGUCGAACGGUGAAGCGCCUUCCUUUUUGGUGGGUGUGGAUGAGUGGCGAACGGGUGAGUAACACGUGAGUAACCUGCCCCCUUCUUCUGGAUAACCGCAUGAAAGUGUGGCUAAUACGGGAUAUUCUGGGUCUGUCGCAUGAUGGGUCUGGGAAAGAUAUUGUUUCGGUGGGGGAUGGGCUCGCGGCCUAUCAGCUUGUUGGUGGGGUGAUGGCCUACCAAGGCGGUGACGGGUAGCCGGCCUGAGAGGGUGGACGGGCACACUGGGACUGAGACACGGCCCAGACUCCUACGGGAGGCAGCAGUGGGGAAUAUUGCACAAUGGGCGCAAGACUGAUGCAGCGACGCCGCGUGAGGGAUGGAGGCCUUCGGGUUGUGAACCUCUUUCGCCAGUGAAGCAGGCCUGCCUCGUUUGUGGGUGGGUUGACGGUAGCUGGAUAAGAAGCGCCGGCUAACUACGUG
rnacentral:rRNA from 1 species